UUAAAUGACAUAAAAUUAGAUGGAGACACACCAAGUAUAAUUACCAUAAAUGACUAAUUUCUCCCAUUGAAGCAUAGUCUUUCAGACAGGUUUUCAAAAAAUCGAAUAUUGACAAUCUUAAAAUACAGAAAAAUUUUAAAGUUAAAUGAGAACAGUCAUGAUUGAAAUAUUCAUCAUUAAAUAAUGUCAGACUUGCUUUCACACAAUGAUGUUUCCUCAUCCAGAACAUGGUAGGUGUCCAAUACAUGCUUUUUGGCUGACACACUGAAUGAAUAAAUGCAUGAAGGAAGGAAUGAAUGAUGAAUAAAAUAGCACUACCCCGUCUCUACUAAAAAUACAAAAAUAAAUUAGCCGGGCGAGGUGGCGGCGCCUGUGGUCCCAGCUACACGGGAGGCUGAGGCAGGAGAAUGGCGGGAACCCAGGAGGCGGAGCUUGCAGUGAGGCGAGAUCCGGCCACUGCACUCCAGCCUGGGCGACAGAACGAGACUCCGUCUCAAAAAAAUAAAUAAAUAAAAAUAAAAAUAAAAAUCUCACUCUUGAUAUUGAGAUGGAAAAUGACAUAUUUUGUUUGUUUCUUGACUGAACUGAUUCUCAACAAUGUAGCUUAGGCACUACUCAAAAACUGGUUAUAUAUCUAUAUUUUGAUCAUGUUUUCUUUUUUAUUCUGAUAGAAUCAACUUGAUUUUUUUUUUUUUUUUUUCCGAGACGGAGUCUCGCUCUGUGGCCCAGGCUGGAGUGCGGUGGCGCGAUCUCGGCUCACUACAAGCUCUGCCUCCCGGGUUCACGCCAUUCUCCUGCCUCAGCCUCCCGAGUAGCUGGGACUUUAGUGGAAAAUUUGCAUUCAUAUUUACACAAAGAGCAAUGCCCUACAUAAUAGAAAACUAACAACUUACUAUGAUUUAUGGAAAUGUAAUUUUUGAAAGAGCUACCCAUAACCUCAGGUUCUUCAGAAACCAGGAAGAAUAGAAAUGGCUUUGUCAGCCUUUAAAAAUAGCUAUUAAUUUGCUAUUCCAAAUGUCAGCAGGUAAGUUACUCCAGAGAAUACGGCAUGAAAAGCACCCAAAAGACAUGGAGAAGAUUUACACUUGAGUUCUUGUAUUUCAAACUCAUUGUAUUUUCUUGAUGAUGAAGACAAAUGAUUUUUGUAAAACAUACAUUUGUAAUUUAAAGACAGAUAGAUGCUGACUCAUUACGCGGAUUAAAAUACUCUCCACAUAAAGAGUUGUCAUCUGCCAUAGCACCACCUGCCUCUACUCCAUUUUCAACCUCUUUUUUCCUUGUUUUCCUUCCGACAUUUAGACAUGAGAUUUCACUCUUGGGCUUAAAGUCGGCCCCCAGUAAUAAUGCUAAUACUAUUCUGAUGGCCUUUUCAUUCUAACUCUGAUUUUAAUUCUAAUUCUAAUACUAGCUAAAGUUUGUUGAGUGUGCUUACUUGAUACUCUAAAUGCUUUACAUGAACUAUCUAAUUUUUUUUUAAUUUUUUUUAUUUUUAUUUAUUUAUUUUUUUUUUUUUUUUUUGAGACAGAGUCUCGCUUAGUCGCCCAGGCUGGAGUGCAGUGGCACGAUCUCGGCUCACUGCAAGCUCCACCUCCCGGGUUCACGCCAUUCUCCUGCCUCAGCCUCCCGAGUAGCUGAGACUACAGGCGCCCGCCGCCUCGCCCGGCUAAUUUUUUGCAUUUUUAGUAGAGACAGGGUUUCACCGUGUUAGCCAGGAUGGUCUCGAUCUCCUGACCUCGUGAUCCGCCCGCCUCGGCCUCCCAAAGUGCUGGGAUUACAGGCGUGAGCCACCGCGCCUGGCCAUGAACUAUCUAAUUUAACAGAAAUAGCAACCUACUACAAUCUCUCUCCAUUUUACGGAUUAAGAAACUGAGGCACAGAGAGGUUGUAUCUGUAGGAAGUGGCAGAAUGAGCCAUCUACCCAGGCAGUCAGGGUCUAGAUAGAAUCUGCAGUCUGUUUGAACCACUGAGCUCUACAACCCCACCCAGUGGCCCCACUCAGUGGGAAAGGGCCAUGGAAACCAGUUUUUCUUGUAAAAAGAAGUUCACUUCACCAAACUUGACCAUGCACGCCACAGCAAGCUGAUGACAGUGCCAUACAUGAUUUUUC
rnacentral:lncRNA from 1 species